GUAGACGUUAGCUCAGUGGUUAGAGCACAGGCCUCUGGCUCUCGGGUCCGCGUGUUCGAGUUCCGUCGUCUACU
rfam:Trichomalopsis sarcophagae strain Alberta scaffold6685, whole genome shotgun sequence.